GGCCAGACUCCUACGGGAGGCAGCAGUGAGGAAUAUUGGUCAAUGGGCGGGAGCCUGAACCAGCCAAGUCGCGUGAGGGACGACGGUCCUAUGGAUUGUAAACCUCUUUUGUCGGGGAACAAAGGCGCCCACGGGUGGGCGGAUGAGUGUACCCGAAGAAAAAGCAUCGGCUAACUACGUGCCAGCAGCCGCGGUAAUACGUAGGGGGCAAGCGUUAUCCGGAUUUACUGGGUGUAAAGGGAGCGUAGACGGACUUGCAAGUCUGAUGUGAAAAUCCGGGGCCCAACCCCGGAACUGCAUUGGAAACUGUAUAUCUAGAGUGUCGGAGAGGCAAGUGGAAUUCCUGGUGUAGCGGUGAAAUGCGUAGAUAUCAGGAGGAACACCAGUGGCGAAGGCGGCUUGCUGGACGAUGACUGACGUUGAGGCUCGAAAGCGUGGGGAGCAAACAGGAUUAGAUACCCCUGUA
rnacentral:rRNA from 1 species